UCCUCCUUUGGGAUAGCCUGGGAAACUGGGUCUAAUACCGAAUAUGACCACGCCUCUUCAUGGGGUGUGGUGGAAAGCUUUUGCGGUGUGGGAUGGGCCCGCGGCCUAUCAGCUUGUUGGUGGGGUAAUGGCCUACCAAGGCGACGACGGGUAGCCGGCCUGAGAGGGUGACCGGCCACACUGGGACUGAGAUACGGCCCANACUCCUACGGGAGGCAGCAGUGGGGAAUAUUGCACAAUGGGCGCAAGCCUGAUGCAGCGACGCCGCGUGAGGGAUGACGGCCUUCGGGUUGUAAACCUCUUUCACCAGGGACGAAGCGCAAGUGACGGUACCUGGAGAAGAAGCACCGGCCAACUACGUGCCAGCAGCCGCGGUAAUACGUAGGGUGCGAGCGUUGUCCGGAAUUACUGGGCGUAAAGAGCUCGUAGGUGGUUUGUCGCGUUGUUCGUGAAAACUCACAGCUUAACUGUGGGCGUGCGGGCGAUACGGGCAGACUAGAGUACUGCAGGGGAGACUGGAAUUCCUGGUGUAGCGGUGGAAUGCGCAGAUAUCAGGAGGAACACCGGUGGCGAAGGCGGGUCUCUGGGCAGUAACUGACGCUGAGGAGCGAAAGCGUGGGGAGCGAACAGGAUUAGAUACCCUGGUAGUCCACGCCGUAAACGGUGGGUACUAGGUGUGGGUUCCUUCCUUGGGAUCCGUGCCGUAGCUAACGCAUUAAGUACCCCGCCUGGGGAGUACGGCCGCAAGGCUAAAACUCAAAGGAAUUGACGGGGGCCCGCACAAGCGGCGGAGCAUGUGGAUUAAUUCGAUGCAACGCGAAGAACCUUACCUGGGUUUGACAUGCACAGGACGCUGGUAGAGAUAUCAGUUCCCUUGUGGCCUGUGUGCAGGUGGUGCAUGGCUGUCGUCAGCUCGUGUCGUGAGAUGUUGGGUUAAGUCCCGCAACGAGCGCAACCCCUAUCUUAUGUUGCCAGCGCGUUAUGGCGGGGACUCGUAAGAGACUGCCGGGGUCAACUCGGAGGAAGGUGGGGAUGACGUCAAGUCAUCAUGCCCCUUAUGUCCAGGGCUUCACACAUGCUACAAUGGCCGGUACAAAGGGCUGCGAAUCCGCGAGGUGGAGCGAAUCCCUUGAAAGCCGGUCUCAGUUCGGAUCGGGGUCUGCAACUCGACCCCGUGAAGUUGGAGUCGCUAGUAAUCGCAGAUCAGCAACGCUGCGGUAAUCUGCUGC
rnacentral:rRNA from 1 species